GGGCACGACCGUGUUUACGGCGUCUUACAGGGAUGAUGAGAACAGACACGUGAGGAAGAGAAGCCAGCAGCACAUGGGAACAUGAGGAGUUCUGACUGAAGGCACAGAAAUAGUAUUUGGAUGGAUAACUUUGGUAUCAACCCUCUGCGAAGGCUACUGGAAGAAGGGCUGGCCUCAGAAACGGAUCUAAGAUGGACGCUAAGACUGAGUCAUACAGCCAUUUACGCAUGGAACCGAACUAUCAUGGCCUGGAGACUUUGAUUUCUACAAGGACUAAAAUGAGCUUCCCGAGAAAUACAGCUGCCCAGGCCUCCCAAGCAGACAAUGGAAGAGCAGGGAGUCAAACCCAGGUUACAUUCAACUCUGGGGUCUGAGCAGUGCUCUGACUGUGCUAAGCUGAAGUCAGCCUUCGUCAGGUGGGCUGACCUGUUGGAGGAGCAGCCGAGCACACAUCUGCAGGCUGAAGGAUGGCGACCAACCACAGCAUCCUCCCAGUGUGAGCUAGGGGCAGGGAUGCCUAAGGGCACUUCUUACAAGUAUCUAGUCAACAGGUCAGGU